rfam:Stegodyphus mimosarum contig31346, whole genome shotgun sequence.
GCCUUCGUGGUGUAGUGGUCAGCACGCUCGACGCGUAACCGAGAGGUCCGUGGUUCGAUUCUCAGCAAGGGCA